CUACGGGACGCACCAGUGGGGAAUAUUGGACAAUGGGGGAAACCCUGAUCCAGCAAUGCCGCGUGAGCGACGACGGCCCUAGGGUUGUAAAGCUCUUUCAGCAGGGAAGAUAAUGACGGUACCUGCAGAAGAAGUCCCGGCUAACUCCGUGCCAGCAGCCGCGGUAAUACGGAGGGGACUAGCGUUGUUCGGAAUUACUGGGCGUAAAGCGCGCGUAGGCGGAUUGUUAAGUCGGGGGUGAAAUCCCGGGGCUCAACCCCGGAACUGCCCUCGAUACUGGCAGUCUUGAGUUCGAGAGAGGUGAGUGGAAUUCCGAGUGUAGAGGUGAAAUUCGUAGAUAUUCGGAGGAACACCAGUGGCGAAGGCGGCUCACUGGCUCGAUACUGACGCUGAGGUGCGAAAGCGUGGGGAGCAAACAGGAUUAGAUACCCGCGUAGUC
rnacentral:rRNA from 1 species